GUUUAGGAUGAUAAGCCAGCCUCAGAGUGGAUCAGAUCAUGCGCUCUUCAGUUAACCUGUGGGACAAGACAUCCGUAUCAUUGAUCCACAUAUUAUGAAUAGUGGACAAAAGCCUGUAUUAUCUGCACAGGAAGAACUCCUAUUCCAGAGAAAGAAUCUCCUCUCAGAAGAAUCCCCGUUGAGAAAGGUGGCUUCUCUGUGUACACAUGUGAACAGACACGCAUACCCACGAGCAUGCAAACACACGUGAACAAGCAUAUACUCAUGGAUGUGGACGUGAAACUCUAACACAGGAUCACUUCUAUCAUCUCCUUGGCAUUUUUACUAAUCUAGUAUAUGUAAAUUUAAGAAAGACAGUCAUUGAUUUUU